rnacentral:tRNA from 1 species
UAUGACAGAUUAUAUGUGAUGGAUUAAACCCCCAUUUAUAAAGGACUAUCCUUUUUUUAGAA